rnacentral:rRNA from 1 species
UACAGGGGGUGCAAACAUUGCUCGGAAUUAUUGGGCGUAAAGCGCGCGUAGGCGGCUACUUAAGUCGGAUGUGAAAGCCCUUGGCUCAACUGAGGAAGUGCACCCGAAACUGAGUGGCUAGAGUACGAAAGAGGGUCGCGGAAUUCCCGGUGUAGAGGUGAAAUUCGUAGAUAUCGGGAGGAACACCGGUGGCGAAGGCGACUCACUGGGUCUUUACUGACGCUGAUGCACGAAAGCUAGGGUAGCAAACGGG